rnacentral:rRNA from 1 species
UGGGGAAUUUUGGACAAUGGACGCAAGUCUGAUCCAGCCAUGCCGCGUGCGGGAAGAAGGCCUUCGGGUUGUAAACCGCUUUUGUCAGGGAAGAAACGAGUUUCUCUAAUACAGAGACUUAAUGACGGUACCGGAAUAAGAAGCACCGGCUAACUACGUGCCAGCAGCCGCGGUAAUACGUAGGGUGCGAGCGUUAAUCGGAAUUACUGGGCGUAAAGCGUGCGCAGGCGGUUUUGUAAGACAGGCGUGAAAUCCCCGGGCUCAACCUGGGAACUGCGUUUGUGACUGCAAGGCUAGAGUAUGGCAGAGGGGGGUGGAAUUCCGCGUGUAGCAGUGAAAUGCGUAGAUAUGCGGAGGAACACCGAUGGCGAAGGCAAUCCCCUGGACCUGUACUGACGCUCAUGCACGAAAGCGUGGGGAGCAAACA